UACGGAAGGGGCAAGCGUUGUUCGGAAUCAUUGGGCGUAAAGGGCGCGUAGGUGGUUCUGUAUGUCUACCGUGAAAGCGUACGGCUCAACCGUAUUUUGUCGGUGGAAACUGCAGGACUUGAGGCUGGGAGGGGCUGGUGGAAUUCCCUGUGUAGCGGUGAAAUGCGUAGAGAUGGGGGAGAACACUCGUGGCGAAGGCGGCCAGCUAGACCAGUUCUGACACUGAGGCGCGAUAGCGUGGGGGAGCAAACAGG
rnacentral:rRNA from 1 species